GGUGAAACUCGUGGGGGGCAAUCUCGCUCGGGCGAACUAGCUGUUUUGCUCGUUGCAGCGCAUGCGCUGUGCUGUCUUUGAAUGUGUGCGUGCGUCAAAAGCGAGCGAAACGCCGCUGUGUCAAAAAAUUUGUAAACAAACUCAGUUGGAGUUCAGAAAAAUCUUACUUAUUACCGAUAUGUGCAGUGCCGUGGAAUAACAAAAAUUGCUUCAAAAAAGCUGUGUGUGUGGCUGAUACUCUAGCAUCUUUCCAUGUGUGUAAACAACGCCAAGAGUAUUACUGUUUUGUGAUCAUCAUAUUUCAUUCGGAUUGCACAUUACCGGGCAGAAAAAGCUUCAAGCAACCAAUUUUGUACAGCAUCCGCACGCUGUAUGAAGGUGUAAAACAAAUUGUCAUCUGUAAGAUGCUCUUCAAACCUGUCCAGUGACUCUUCGUUACUUAUAUAUUGCAUCGGGAUGGUUUGAGCAUUGCGUCGCACGCCUUUCAUCGGGUGUAUUGUGGCCACUACCGCAGCCGUUUGGGCAGUUCGGGCAUCCAGUUUUAAUAAUGAACAUUGUGAACAAAAAUCGUGCCCAGGAGAAGUUCUUUUUGCUUGAACUAACUCUGUGUUCUUAUUUACAUGAAUAGAUACGGUGGACGGAUGAAUGCUGCUUGCUGACGACUGCUCUUCGUGAAGUGUUGAUCCCGGUGAUGAAACACACGGUUCCGGUGUCAUGCUUGGUGACGGCUGACGGGAUCCUUGAUGCACGACAGUCGUUUUUGCCGGUCGCGCAACGUCAUGCGCGCAUGAACCAGCAGCUGAAGCAACAGACGAUUUCGGCGUCGCACUUGUAGUCGGCUGCGAUCCUUGCAUUUGUUCGUCAAACGAUCCUAACGAUCACGGAAUGCCAUCCACGGAUCCAGCAGCGGGAAUGACCGAUGGUACCGGCGUCGCACUUGUGGUCAGCUGCGAUCCAUGCGAACGCUUUAACGACAUUGUCGCUAGUGGAACAACACGCACGGAACUAGCAGGCACAACAAUCAUCCCACGUAUCGCUUUCGUUGAGGGCUGCGUUCCUCGCUUUUGUUCCAUCGAUCCUGCCGGACGCGUAGCGAUAUCCAUGGAACCAGCACCGGGGGCAAGAGACGGUUCCGGCGUCGGUCUUGAUGACGUUCGCGGUCCAAAAACACGGACGAUCGCGCCUGUGGAGCAUAAUACAGCCCAAGGCAGUUGUUGCAGUGCAAAAAGGCGCCCUUUCUUUGGUGGUUCCGGCAUUACAUUUUGGCUGAAAUAAUCAAUCGUUUUAUUAUUUUUUAUGUGAAACUGCUGAGUUGUAUUUGAAUGCUGCUUUGCGGUUUGAAAUCUCGAUGUUUAUGUUUUCAGCUGUGAAUUUCAAUAAAGGGUAACAAUCACA